UGCCAGCAGCCGCGGUAAUACGGAGGGAUCUAGCGUUAUUCGGAAUUACUGGGCGUAAAGCGAGCGUAGGCUGAUUUGUAAGUUGGAUGUGAAAUCCCAGAGCUUAACUCUGGAACUGCAUCCAAAACUAUAUUUCUUGAGUUUGGUAGAGGAGAGUGGAAUUCCUAGUGUAGAGGUGAAAUUCGUAGAUAUUAGGAGGAACACCAGUGGCGAAGGCGACUCUCUGGGCCAAUACUGACGCUGAGGUUCGAAAGCGUGGGGAGCGAACGGGAUUAGAUA
rnacentral:rRNA from 1 species